GUUUUUUUGAGGUUCUGGGGAUCAAACCCAGGGCCUUGUGUAUUCUAAGCCUGUUCUCUCUCACCGAGCUACAUUCCCAGCCCCAAAUUAUAUUUUUGAGUAUAAUAUUCAGUAUUCCCAGAGGGUAGGAGUCAUGCCUUCAAUUAACAUUAUGAUGAAUUUGCUCAUAUUUGGGCAUUUUAUUGGAGAUGCCAAACAACAAGAACUCUGGAUGCUUUAGUUCUAUUCAAUAUGUUUCCAAUCCUUUGAAGGAAUUUAGACUUCAGUUCCCUGCAAGCUCUGCAGAAUCCCUGACCCUGAGGCUGUCAUUUGCAAACCACUGCAUGCAAUAACCGUGUGUGGGAAGCCUGCACAUAUCAUCUGUGUGGAUUAUGGACGGUUUUGCAGACUCAGCAAAGUGGAUCCAUACAGCUUGAACAGAAUCAGCGUCAAGUAUCAGCCUGCAUGAGGAAAAUGAUUCCAACCAGACGGAAAUUUCCCACGAAGAGACUAGAGUUGAAGGCUGGUUUUUGCUACUUUUACAGAAAGUCACAAGAUCACAGAUUCAAGACUGAAAGGGAUCCUGUGGACCACUCAGCUACUCCUCUUUCAUUUUAUAACAAGGAAACUAAAGCAUGGAAAAGCGA
rnacentral:lncRNA from 1 species